CUACGUGCCAGCAGCCGCGGUAAUACGGAGGGUGCAAGCGUUAAUCGGAAUUACUGGGCGUAAAGCGCACGCAGGCGGUUUGUUAAGUCAGAUGUGAAAUCCCCGCGCUUAACGUGGGAACUGCAUUUGAAACUGGCAAGCUAGAGUCUUGUAGAGGGGGGUAGAAUUCCAGGUGUAGCGGUGAAAUGCGUAGAGAUCUGGAGGAAUACCGGUGGCGAAGGCAGCCUCCUGGGAUAACACUGACGUUCAUGCUCGAAAGCGUGGGUAGCAAACAGGAUUAGAUACCCUGGUAGUCCACGCCCUAAACGAUGUCGACUUGGAGGUUGUGCCCUUGAGGCGUGGCUUCCGGAGCUAACGCGUUAAGUCGACCGCCUGGGGAGUACGGCCGCAAGGUUAAAACUCAAAUGAAUUGACGGGGGCCCGCACAAGCGGUGGAGCAUGUGGUUUAAUUCGAUGCAACGCGAAGAACCUUACCUACUCUUGACAUCCAGA
rnacentral:rRNA from 1 species